ensembl:lncRNA
AUGUUGCAGAGCUCAGAGGUCCCCAACAGCUCAUGGUGUGAGCUUGAAGGGCUCAAGCGCAGUGUUGGCCUGCUGAGGGGAAACGACCUGCAUUUGGCAACGCUGAUCACGGACCGACAUCGCCAGGUUUUUACUCCUACGUUUUCUGUCUGUGUGUCUGUCUGCCUCCCUGCCUACCUGUCUUGGUCUUUGCAGGCUCAUUGGCAGCAGUCAAGUUGGAGAACAUAAUGAUGAGGACUGCCUUACUGAAAGAUGUUCGACAGCUGUCUCCACAGCACCAGACCUUCUCCCUUGAGGCUUACCACUCCCUCAUCUUGCACUUCGCGCCCAAGCACACAGGGUUUUCAUACCUUGGGAUGUAUAGCAGUACGGAGAAGUGACGGGACGGAGAAGUACUGCGUGCGGUAUCCGCGCUUCAGAAAAGGUGCCCAUGUGGUGCGUCCCAUCAAAGAGGCAGCCUCAUACGGUUAUGCAACAUCAUUAAUGAAGGCCCUUCGGGAGAGCUACGUCAAUUCACCCGCGGUUCUUCGAGAGGUUAGCGCCAAUUUGUCCUCCGAUGCACCCGCCCCCAUCGCCAAAUCCUUCAAACAGAUUCCUAAGGAGGAGGCCGUCAGCCUCUACCUAGCCCGGCAGUCACGCUUCAAGAAAACCUAAUUUCCCAUUAUUAUUUUUUUCCACGGACAAGUCCAAUGAUUUAGUUAUUAUUUGCAUGAAAUUUCUUUGUAUGUAAUUCAAAAUAAUUUGGCAAUCAUUUUACCUGUGCCUUGUCAACCUCUGUGUGCGGUGUUGUCUGGGCUCACUGUGUGUCUGCUUGAUGUGCUUUUGCAUGUAUCACUGCAUGUAUGCAUGCAUACAUGCAUGCAUACAUUAUGUGUGCAUACAUGCACACAUAAAUAGUAUGUGUGUGUGUGAGUGAGAGAAAGAGAACCAUCAACUGACCCUCGGGUAUGACCACACUAUUGCAGAAUUAAUUAGAAUUAGAACUAGAACUGCAAGCAGUUAUGCAGGGGUCCAAGAAGUGUGCAU